AUGUAAAUGUACAGCGAGAUUCUAACAGUUACAUACUGUAAAAUGCUUUUACUGUAUAUUACUGUGAAAGCAAUGCAUUCUGGGAGUCAGAACGCUUGCUCCCAUGAUCCCAGCGGUCAAGUGUAUCUUUUCACAGUAAUCUACUGCUGCCGCUGAGAAUCUCGGGAAAAUAAAUUAACGGCUAUUUUUCUAAGUUCUCGCGCGUAUUUUUUUCGAGUUGAUCGUUGAGCGCCACAGCUCAACAGCUCAACGGUCAACAGCUCAACGGUCAACAGCUCAACGGUCAACAGCUCAACAGCUCAACGGUCAACAGCUCAACGGUCAACAGCUCAACGGUCAACAGCUCAACAGCUCAACGGUCAACAGCUCAACAGCUCAACGGUCAACAGCUCAACAGCUCAACGGUCAACAGCUCAACAGCUCAACAGCUCAACGGUCAACAGCUCAACGGUCAACAGCUCAACAGCUCAACAGUCAACAGCUCAACAGCUCAACGGUCAACAGCUCAACAGCUCAACGGUCAACAACUCAACAGCUAAACAGCUCAACGGUCAACAGCUCAACGCUCAACAGCUCAACAGCUAAACAGCUCAACGCUCAACAGCUCAACGGUCAACAGCUCAACGGUCAACAGCUAAACAGCUCAACGGUCAACAGCUCAACGCUCAACAGCUCAACGGUCAACAGCUAAACAGCUCAACGGUCAACAGCUCAACGCUCAACAGCUCAACGGUCAACAGUUCAACGCUCAACAGCUCAACGGUCAACAGCUCAACAGCUAAACAGCUCAACGGUCAACAGCUCAACAGCUAAACGGUCAACAGCUCAACGGUCAACAGCUCAACAGCUCAACGGUCAACAGCUCAACAGCUCAACGCUCACUCUGGCAGCAGCAGCAGCAUCGUUGUUCUCCAGUGCAACUUGAGGAGAGACAGCAGCAGUUUGGAUAAACACUUUUUAUUUUCACCACCGCCAGUUCCAUUUGGAUCGUCAGACCAGACGAAGGGAAACUCCAGUGGUUACAUUACCUUACUUCAUGGGUGCUCACAUGAGCAUGCAGGGUGCUUCAAAUAGAAGAGAGAUGUCCUCAUCUUGCAGGCAGAUGUGUCAGACACAGCGGCGACUGUGAAGACAUCCCUCACCCUUCCUGAUAGCCCUUGGUUGAUCAUUCUAGGUAAGCACUAAGCCCCACGUUUCUACUUACACUGUACUAGUGCACAUAUGCAGAGUACUUCUAUUGAGCCUGUCAGCAGGCAGUCAGAAGGUGUGGGGCAGGCAGGAAGACGCUGCUUGCCGCUGGAGUUGGAGUUCAGUUGUAGUGAGUUUCUAUGGUUAUGUCUUCUAUAUUGUAUAUAAUACACACAACUUUACAUUCUUAUAAAUAGAUACUGAUUCUGAAACAGUUGUGCAUACAGAAAUGGAUAAAUAAAUACGUAGUUUUAGAUGGUUAAUAAAUAGUUGACUCUAUAAUACAUACACAGUGGGCUAUGUUUUAGUUAUUAAAUAGUUGACUCUAUAAUACAUAUACAGUAGGCUACGGAAUAAUAAUUUCUCUGAUUCUUCUCUGAUAUGUAAAUAGUUUGUUUGAGUUUUUUUCUCACUCUCUUUCUGGAUUAGGGUGUUCCUAUAGCUUGUAAAUAUGUAAAUAGUUCGUUUGAUAUUCUCCCUCCCUUUGUAGAUUUUAUUUUAUUUGUAUUAACUUUUUUACUUGAUUUCUCCUUCACUGCAACGGACACAACC